ACUCCUACGGGAGGCAGCAGUGGGGAAUAUUGCACAAUGGGCGCAAGCCUGAUGCAGCCAUGCCGCGUGUAUGAAGAAGGCCUUCGGGUUGUAAAGUACUUUCAGCGGGGAGGAAGGCGAUAAGGUUAAUAACCUUGUCGAUUGACGUUACCCGCAGAAGAAGCACCGGCUAACUCCGUGCCAGCAGCCGCGGUAAUACGGAGGGUGCAAGCGUUAAUCGGAAUUACUGGGCGUAAAGCGCACGCAGGCGGUCUGUCAAGUCGGAUGUGAAAUCCCCGGGCUCAACCUGGGAACUGCAUUCGAAACUGGCAGGCUAGAGUCUUGUAGAGGGGGGUAGAAUUCCAGGUGUAGCGGUGAAAUGCGUAGAGAUCUGGAGGAAUACCGGUGGCGAAGGCGGCCCCCUGGACAAAGACUGACGCUCAGGUGCGAAAGCGUGGGGAGCAAACAGGAUUAGAAACCCCAGUAGUCCCA
rnacentral:rRNA from 1 species